CCCAACGGGGCCUGAGGCGUGAAGGUGGUUUUCUGAGCCCUAUUCGGGUCGCGUCCCGCGAUAACGUUCUGGCACUGGUGCAAAGAAAGCAAAGUUUUGAGAAACGUGGUUCUAACUGAAUGGCACGUUCUCUAAAUGAACUCUUUCUUUCUUCAAGCAACCUGGAAAACGAGGCAAAGAAACGCCCCGGUAUUCCAACGCUAAUAAAACGGCUCGGCACUCACAUCCCCAUCGUGCCCGGCACCGAGAACGGCGCAAAUGCAAAUGUAAUCAGGGAACAAAUUAUUUCUGAACAAACGCAAGGCGUCAGACGUUGUGUUAGCUACCAGCCAUGCAAGGACAGAUAAGACAUGGCUCCAGCCCUCUGAGGAAUUUUUAAUCUGGUUUUAGAGAAAUCAGAGAAGGAGGAAAGUUGGCCGUGUUGACGGAUGGUAUUUAAGAAUCGGGAGUUCUUUGAUCUACUCUUUUUUUUUUUUUUUUUUUUUUCUGGUUUCUGGAGAAAUAUUGUUGACUGGUUGAAGUGGCUUGUCAAGGAGAGAAAAUGUCUUUCUGUUGACAAGAUAAUUAAGAAGGAAGGAGCCCCCUCCAGUUCUAAACUGUAACAAAAAAACCUUUGAACAGAAGGGGACAAAUGUUAAAAGCUCAUCAUGGUCCGUGUUCCAUCUGCGGAUCAGCAUUCAGUCGGUGACCGCUGACCUAAACAUCUUGGGCAAUUUGAUCUUGGCAAGACUACUUCUUAAAGAAUGAGGAGAAAUCACAGCUUUACGAAUGAGUCGGGUUUUUGGGAGCAUACAGCAGAGUUCGCCAGUCAUCAGCAUUGCUCCCCUCUGUCCACGGUGGGGCAGGGAAGUUACCAGGCCUUCAACUGCACCAACUCCCACGUGUCCACCGGGCCUAGCAAGUUCCACAGCCUAUUCUAAAUUCAGAUGUAUGAAAUGAAGACAAUGGAGUGGGGAGGGGACUUUACAAAAAGAAAAGAAAGAAAAAAAAAAAGAAAAGAAAAAAGAAAAGAAAAGAAAAGAAAAGAAAAGAAAAGAAAAGAAAAGAAAAAGAAAAAAAAGAUGUCACUCAUACUCCUAAAGUUUGCAGUCGUGUGGACCAAUUAUCCAUAAGAUGAAUUGAAUUAUUCCCUUUGUCCUGGGGCAGUGUGGUGUCAGGAACCACCCACUCCUUCCAUCCAGACAUUAGCAGUUGGGCUGGCACCAUCGUGAGCAGUGUGAUGUGCUACUGCCAAGUGGUAGGAUGCCUACAUGGGCAAGACUUGCUCCACACAGAGGUGUUUGCCCAUUGUUUCUAAAAAGUCCUCUUAAAACAGACCCCAAAAAGCCACAGACCAAAUUUAUAAAGCACCAGGGCUUGGGUGUGGAGGGGUGGUGGACAGUAGGAUGCGAACAGAUUAUGAAAGAACCGAAGAUCCUCCACAUGGUUUUAUACUCUAAAUGAUCUGUAAAAAAGAAUAAUCAUGCAAAAAAAAUCCAAGUCAGGGGCCGUGGCCUCCAGAAUAUCAAUGUCUAAACCAUACAUGCAUAUUUGAAGAGAACAAUCUCCCUUCUUCUCAAAUGAACCAUUAGCUAAGACCAUAAACUGUACCAAAUAGCAAAACGUAAGAGUGCAAAGGGUCUUAGGCUUUAUCCUGACUUAACCGCAUCAUUUCCCCUCCUGGGGAAAAACAUCUAAAGACACAGAGCAGACAACUUUCAAAACUACAGACCAAUCCUCUGUGCUGGAAGUAAGAGUAUCAUGAUUAAAAGAAGAGCGGGAGUUCUGGAUCAGAAAGAUCUGGUGUCAGACUCCAGAUCUGUCACUUCCUGUCACCUAACCUCUUACAGUCUCCAUCCCUGUACCUGUUGGGUCAGGAUAACAAGAUCGAAGUCAGCAAGGGCUGCUCAGCCAUAAAUGUGGUACCAGCCCCUGUCAAACAGCAUUAAUAGUAACUAAUGUGUUUGAAUUGGGUAAAAUGAGAGGAUUCAAGGGAAAAAAAUAAUAACUUUUAGUGGAUUGGCAGAAAACGAAAAAAAAUCAAAUAUGCUGCUGUUGAAAUUUCCCCCCAGAGCCCUGGGGUUUCUCAAGCCUGGUCUUCCAAGACCACAGGGGCAAAGAGAAGCCGGGAGGGCGGGCUUCCAGGACCUCCCACCCCACACCUACUCCCUCCAGGGCCAGAGAGACUUUGCAGCUUUCCCUUUUACAUACUGGGCUUCUGGCUUACACCCUCCUGGAGAAGAUACAGAGCUAGAAGCACAUCAUCCUCCCCCGCUCUGCGCCCAUUGUUUCUGGAGGGUACAGCACACACAUGGCUGUGUGGGCAGCCUCAGACAAGCCAAGUGCCACUGUGGCAUCUCACUCUACGAUGAAAGGUUUGGCCCAACCACCCCUAGCUUCCCUCUCGAGUCUAACAGCCUCACCUCUUCCCCGAUUGCAGAGCCCCCUGCAUAAUGGGAACAAGUGUUUCCCAAUGGGAGAAGCUAUUGUGUGCCC